ensembl:lncRNA
CAGCAGACAGCAGCCGAGGAGGGUGGGUCCCCUGGGGCCCCUGGGUGGCGCAUGGCCCUGCCCACAUCCUGGCCGUGGGCUCUGGAGCCCAGGCCUGUGUGAAGCACAUCUCCAUUGUUUGAAGUCCCGUGGCCUGUAGCACUCUGGUCUGAUGGCCACUGGAAGCUCACACCUGGGUUUCAGUUAUUCGGGCUGUGAACUCUAAGAUUAGUGUCUGGUGGACACGCAGACACAGGAGACACAAGCCAGAGAAAGGCACCGUGCACUCUGAGGGGUGAGCCACAGUCCACAGAAAUCUCAAGGUAAGAGCCAGAGCCCAAAGCGGCCUUCUCCGUGGAUCUCAGGUGUGGAACAUCAUGUGGCUGGAGAAUCCUGGGCCACGGGCCACGUCUGGGCCUGACCGUCUGGGCCGGCGCCCAAACUCACAGAGGGACGUCGGGAUCCGAGGAGCUGGAAGGAACGAGUCCCAGACAUGAUGGAAAGACAGUCUCUGCCGUGCCAGCUGCCCUGGGGCCCCGAGAGGCCCUUCCUGACACCUGCCCCACCCCGGCUUCCCAGAGCAUCUGGACCUUCCUUCAGCAUCACAAGGGUCCAUGGAAGCAAUCACAAAAGAUGUCACCUUCUUCUGGGAAGCGUUCACUGCACACUACCAGACACCGACAUGGAGCUGUGCUUGCAGGGUUCUAUGUGCAGAGGUGCAUAAUUUUGAUGUAUGCUGUAUUUUUGCAACACAUAGACAUUAGCAUGCAGACACGGCACCUGAGAUCGUGUGUCAGCGCGGGGAAACGCUCCGACUUCCUGUAACACUAGGAGACGAGCAGCCUGAGGGCAGAUGUGACCACUCUUCCAGGGCGAGAUUGUGUGAGAACUGCUUCCACAGUGUCCCAGGUUCAGUUUUCAGUGUCUAAGAGUCUGUUGGCCAGCAAGAACUUUCCAAGACUGAAGAGCAAACAGCUCGCCCCAGCCUUCCAUGGCGACCACAGUGCCCUUGCCUGCAAGGCCUCCCGUGUCUACACAUUCGCUGCUGAGAACACCCAAGCCACUCCUACACAUCUGACCCACUCCUACG